rnacentral:rRNA from 1 species
UACGGGGGGGGCAAGCGUUGUUCGGAAUUACUGGGCGUAAAGGGCUCGUAGGCGGCCAACUAAGUCAGACGUGAAAUCCCUCGGCUUAACCGGGGAACUGCGUCCGAUACUGGAUGGCUUGAGUUCGGGAGAGGGAUGCGGAAUUCCAGGUGUAGCGGUGAAAUGCGUAGAUAUCUGGAGGAACACCGGUGGCGAAGGCGGCAUCCUGGACCGAUACUGACGCUGAGGAGCGAAAGCCAGGGGAGCAAACGGG